UACAGAGGGUGCAAGCGUUAAUCGGAAUUAUUGGGCGUAAAGCGCGUGUAGGCGGCUUUGCAAGUCGGGUGUGAAAGCCCUCAGCUCAACUGAGGAAGUGCGCCCGAAACUGCAGAGCUUGAGUGCCGGAGAGGGUGGCGGAAUUCCCCAAGUAGAGGUGAAAUUCGUAGAUAUGGGGAGGAACACCGGUGGCGAAGGCGGCCAGCCUGGACGGGUAACUGACGCUGAGGAGCGAAAGCGUGGGGAGCGAACAGG
rnacentral:rRNA from 1 species